UUCCAAUGUGGCGAAGUCUUUAAUGUUAUUGUUCGCAAAGACCUUCAGAGCCCUAAAUCUCGACAGACGUGCUUUGGUUAUUCUUCUUUGAGAUGGCGCAGAAGAGAAGGCCUUGGAACUUAAUGGAACUGACAUUGGUGGAUGGAAUGCUCUUGUUAAAGUUGAACCGGAGGAGGUAGAAGACGAGGAGGCAGAACUUUAUGAAUCCUCUCU